GCGAACGGGUGAGUAACACGUGAGUAACCUGCCCCCUUCUUUUGGAUAACCGCAUGAAAGUGUGGCUAAUACAGGAUAAUCCAGGCUGGUCGCAUGAUUGGUUUGGGAAAUGCUUUGUUGUGGUGGGGGAUGGGCUCGCGGCCUAUCAGCUUGUUGGUGGGGUGAUGGCCUACCAAGGCGGUGACGGGUAGCCGGCCUGAGAGGGUGGGCGGUCACACUGGGACUGAGAUACGGCCCAGACUCCUACGGGAGGCAGCAGUGGGGGAUUUUGCACAAUGGGCGCAAGCCUGAUGCAGCGACGCCGCGUGAGGGAUGAAGGCCUUCGGGUUGUAAACCUCUUUCGCUGGGUUGAAAGGCCAUGCUUUGGGUGUGGUUGAUUUGAACUGGUAAAGAAGUACCGGCUAACUACGUGCCAGCAGCCGCGGUAAUACGUAGGGUACUAGCGUUGUCCGGAUUUAUUGGGCGUAAAGGGCUUGUAGGUGGUUUGUCGCGUCUGUCGUGAAAUCCUGUGGCUUAACCAUGGGCUUGCGGUGGGUACGGGCAGGCUUGAGUGCGGUAGGGGAGACUGGAAUUCCUGGUGUAGCGGUGAAAUGCGCAGAUAUCAGGAGGAACACCGAUGGCGAAGGCAGGUCUCUGGGCAGUAACUGACGCUGAGGAGCGAAAGCAUGGGUAGCGAACAGGAUUAGAUACCCUGGUAGUCCAUGCCGUAACACGGUGGGCGCUAGGUGUAGGGGGCUUCCACGUCUUCUGUGCCGUAGCUAACGCAUUAAGCGCCCCGCCUGGGAGUACG
rnacentral:rRNA from 1 species